rnacentral:rRNA from 1 species
UGGGGAAUUUUGGACAAUGGGCGAAAGCCUGAUCCAGCAAUGCCGCGUGUGUGAAGAAGGCCUUCGGGUUGUAAAGCACUUUUGUCCGGAAAGAAAUCCUUGGCUCUAAUACAGUCGGGGGAUGACGGUACCGGAAGAAUAAGCACCGGCUAACUACGUGCCAGCAGCCGCGGCAAUACGUAGGGUGCAAGCGUUAAUCGGAAUUACUGGGCGUAAAGCGUGCGCAGGCGGUUUGCUAAGACCGAUGUGAAAUCCCCGGGCUCAACCUGGGAACUGCAUUGGUGACUGGCAGGCUAGAGUAUGGCAGAGGGGGGUAGAAUUCCACGUGUAGCAGUGAAAUGCGUAGAGAUGUGGAGGAAUACCGAUGGCGAAGGCAGCCCCCUGGGCCAAUACUGACGCUCAUGCACGAAAGCGUGGGGAGCAAACAGGAUUAGAUACCCUGGUAGUCCACGCCCUAAACGAUGUCAACUAGUUGUUGGGGAUUCAUUUCCUAGUAACGUAGCUAACGCGUGAAGUUGACCGCCUGGGGAGUACGGUCGCAAGAUUAAAACUUAAAUGAAUUGACGGGGUCAUAGCUGUUUCCU